UAUGUGCAGAACUAUAAUACUUCCUGUUUGUCAGUCAUGGUCUUUGUUAUGUAUAAAGUGGUCUCUGUUUGACUGAAGCACAGAGCAGGGACACCUGUGAGAUCACAUUCCUGAGGUGUGCUGAAUGCCAUUGAAGCUCGCUGACUCCUUGAAUAAGCACCUCAUGCAAACACAUCUUAAAAGAUCAAAAAGCUGCAGGCCGUGAUCUUUCUGAGAGGAUCUGCAGAUGGCUGCCAUUUACCCAGACAGACGAACUCAUGUACAGCAAAAGGAGAGGCAGAGACACCCAGGCUGACAUUUCUACUGUGUGGUUUGAAGGUACAGCGUAAAGCCCAGGGUCUGUACUGUCCUUGGGGUGCUCAUCUGCAAAGGUGAGUAAAAGGCUAAAUGGAUCUAGAAGAAAAAUGACUGCAAAGGACAGAUAAGGACUAUGUUCCUGUGGAUCCGUUUCUACGCAGACAUGAAAAGAGGAUGAAUGCCAGAGGACUGCUGACAUACCAUGUCAUGACAGCCACCUCUGAAAGUGAGAUUAAUUGGCA
rnacentral:lncRNA from 1 species